rnacentral:tRNA from 1 species
AAGGUAUUAGAAAAACCAUUUCAUAGCUUUGUCAAAGCUAAGUUGUAGGUCAAACCCUAUAUAUCUUA